rnacentral:rRNA from 1 species
GUGGGGAAUAUUGCACAAUGGGGGAAACCCUGAUGCAGCAACGCCGCGUGAGUGAUGACGGUCUUCGGAUUGUAAAGCUCUGUCUUUAGGGACGAUAAUGACGGUACCUAAGGAGGAAGCCACGGCUAACUACGUGCCAGCAGCCGCGGUAAUACGUAGGUGGCAAGCGUUGUCCGGAUUUACUGGGCGUAAAGCGCACGCAGGCGGUCUGUCAAGUCGGAUGUGAAAUCCCCGGGCUCAACCUGGGAACUGCAUUCGAAACUGGAUAUCUAGAGUGCAGGAGAGGAAAGGAGAAUUCCUAGUGUAGCGGUGAAAUGCGUAGAGAUUAGGAAGAAUACCAGUGGCGAAGGCGCCUUUCUGGACUGUAACUGACACUGAGGCUCGAAAGCGUGGGGAGCAAACAGGAUUAGAUACCCCAGUAGUCC